UACAGAGGGUGCGAGCGUUGUUCGGAAUUACUGGGCGUAAAGCGCGCGCAGGCGGCUUUUUAAGUCCGACGGUGAAAUGCCGGGGCUCAACCCCGUGCCCGCCGCGGAUACUGGGAAGCUGGAGACGAGUAGAGGCAAGCGGAAUCCCGGGUGUAGCGGUGGAAUGCGCAGAUAUCAGGAGGAACACCGAUGGCGAAGGCAGGUCACUGGGCCGCAACUGACGCUGAGGAGCGAAAGCAUGGGGAGCGAACAGG
rnacentral:rRNA from 1 species